UAUUUUAUUCUUUGUUCAACAGGUGGGGCCAACAUUUGGGCGCACAUUUAUGACAGGUUACCUGUCAUCAAAAGGCAUACAUGCAGGUGAAGUUAGGGUUGGAAAAGCGCUUCGACAGGUUCAUCAACCAUAUAAUGAAUUGCGACAUAAGGGUGUACGCAAUCUGAAUCCAGUGCCCUACCAUGCAGAAUACAUGGGACAUAAACUACAUUUGGACAAAAAUGAGAAGCUGGUGAUGUUUGGAGUGACACAUGUUGUAGCAGUGGAUGGCUUCAGCAGCCAAAUAGUGGCUCAUAACACCAUGCCUGUUAAAAACAACUUAACAGUCUAUCAGAAAGUUUACAGAGAAGCAGUGACAAAAAACGUCAUAUGGGAUCAAAUCCGUGUUGACCACGGAAAAGAGUUCUACAGGGAGUGCAGAAUUAUUAGGCAAGUUGAUUUUUUGAUCAUAUUUUUUUUCCAAGUACAUUUUACCAAUUCCAAUCCACAUCAAUC